GCGGGUGUAACUCAGUGGUAGAGUGCGACCUUGCCAAGGUCGAUGUCGAGGGUUCGAACCCCUUCACCCGCU
rnacentral:tRNA from 1 species